AAUCCCACAUAAUGAUUUGAAUUGUGAUAAGUCUCAGGUCCAGACGUGCCCGCCGUCUGCUGCCGGACCACUCGUCGACGACUCUAUUCCGUCGCGCACCACAAUUCCCUGCCCGGUGACAAAGCGGAACUAUUAGCAGAAGUGAGAAUUCGACUAGCGCCGCCGUAAGGAGCAAUUUUUCUCUCAUCAAAAUUCUCUCGUUGCAAUUCAUCUGUAUUUAUAUGUAAAUGUAUCAUUUUUUAAUGAUGGCCUUUCCUUGUCCUUUUCGCUAGUAAGGAGGAUUCAAAUGCGUCUUACAAUUUUCCAUUUGAUUCUCCCUAAUAGAUAUUUCUCAAUGAAUUUACUAGCAAAUUUGUGAUUUGUAUCAUUUUGAUCAUAUAUACUGCUCAGUUAUAAUCAUACUCAACUAGUUAAUUUGGCUUUGAAGUUUUGGGAGUGUAGUGCACCGGACUGUCAUUUGGUCUCAUCAAUAACAAUAAUUCUGCAUCUUAUUUUCUUAUAUUGUCUUCUGGAUUGAUAUAAGUUGAGCCAUUUUCAUCGUGCAAGCGGGCUGUUAUGAAUGAGAAGGAUCUGAAUACGUUUAAAUGUGUCACCUCAUAUGGGAUCGUGAAUUCUUCGUGGAAGUAUUACUCAGGAGAAGAAGUUGCAGUUGCCAGCCUUUCCAACUUUAUUCAUUGGAGGAAACCAUGAUGCAUCCAAUUACAUUGGGGAGCUGUUUUCAGAUUGCAAGUGAAUAAUGGAAUUCCUAUGAUCAAGAGUUGGUGCGAUGACCCCCAUCGGACUCUGCACUUACUUCAGAACUUCCAUUUCUAGAGACGCUGGCUGAUGCUGAUGAUGUCUGUCCUAUCAUUGCUAAGAAAUUCAGUAACAAGGGACACGAGUCCCUUGUCUCUUCCUAGUAGUUCCUCUAACUGUCCCUCAUUUCUUACUUCAUGUUAGACAAUUUAUCCUUCAUUACUUGCUCAUUAUUAUCCCUCAUUGAGCCUUGUAUAAUUGUUUUUGCAUUAAGAGUUAGGUCCCAAGGUCGAUUUCCAAUUGAGUCAGCUUUUGCUGCUCAUUUUUUUCUCUAUACCCUUUUGACAACUUUCUUCAGUCUACUCAUUUGUCCCUACAGAUAGUUGCAAGAGGUUCUCAAUGCACAUAAUAUAUCUACUUGAGCAUAGUUUAUCGAGUACUGUCAAUUUGUGCGGUAGCAUAAGCUUUCAACUUUAUGUAAAAUUGGCACCAUAGAAAAUAUUAUAUGAAUUAGAAUAUUAAUGAAUCUAAUGAGCUACACUUGGCACAAUAGAAGAUAUUAUAUAAAUUAAUAUAUUACUGAAUCUAAUCAGUUACACUUAAACUAAAGUAAAAUGAGAAGUCUUAUAAUUUUAUUAAAGAGCUUCCAAAAAUCAUCUCUUGCGCAGAUUGAAACAAAUGUAGAAACUAUUUUGGGUUAUAUAUUAACAUAAAGGUUCAUUGAAGUUGAAGAUGAAAUAGCAUGCAAAGGACUGCAUUAGUACAUGUUAAUUUCUCCUACAGUAUGUAUCAGUAUCAGUUGGUAUAUAUAAUUUCGUUGAGGAAAACUGCUAAACUUAUCUAAAAGCAUAAAUAAAACUACUGCCCGUAUCGUCUGUUGGGCAUGGAUUCUACUAGUGCUAGAUUAAACACCUUCUUUUGCCAGGAAACUGUCUUGAGUUAUUCAUUAAAGAAAGAAGGUGAUUAGUUUAUGUUAAAAGCUGUUAUGGUUAUGAGGUUAUCGUUAUAACACAAGGAGAGUAAUAAGAAAUAACAUGGCUGAUUAUCAGCUAUAGCCUUGAGACAAUUGUUCAAUUAUUUACCGUGUUAAGUGCAAUUAAAACUUUAUUUCUGGAGUUCCUCAAUAAUGGCUUAGAUUUCCCUUUUGUGGUCCAAGGGACAUGCUGAAAACCUCAACAUGAAAAUACCACUUAAACUACAAUGGUCACAAUUUGUUCUAAUCUUUGAUUCCUAUUCUUUUCUUUUAGCUAAAUUGUAGUUCAAUCCCUUACAUUGUUGAUCUUUUCCGAGCUGAUGCAUUUGCAGACUCUUUAUUGUGGUGGAGAUAUUCCCACAGACAGUGCAGAUGAUAUUGAGGAACUGAAAGAGGUUGAUCUGCAGAAACUUAGAAUGAGUUAAUGUAAAUCUCAUCUUUCGGUAAUGCUUUUUGCAAUUUCUAUUUUUAAUUAACAUUCAUGAUUUGUUCCAAUGUAACAAAUUAAAAUUUAUAUGGAAAGUUGAUGCUAUAAAUGUGCUGUUAUUAUGACGGAUGAAGACUGCAGUUUUUAUGGGUUGGCUUUGCUUCAUAUGAGAUUAUUGACAUUCGAAUCUGUGUCUCCUUUCCCGUGAUUCUUGACCUUUGUUCCUCCAAAAAUGAUUCUUAACAAUUCUGACAUCAGGAAUUCAAUAGUAAAUUUUUUAACUUUUUUACGACUGUUUCAUUUUUAGUGGUUGAAGUUUGCAAAGGGUGGGCAGAAAGGUGAAAAUUUGAGGACAGUUGUUUGCACUGAGGCAUCAUUUGUCACUGAAAAUGUUUAUAGUAAAUUAGUCAGCAAAUGAAAAGACUGUAACACAAGGAUCGUGUUUCUUUACUCUCAAGCACAUCAGUUCGGGAAAAUUAAAUGAACAUGCAAGUUUGGAGAGGGAUCUCUAGGUAAAAGAAUAGGUAGUUGAGUGUUAUCUCAUUAAUUUAGCAUGGCAAGUUGCCUUGUCCAAUUCUAUGCAUUUAUAGUUCGUUGCAACUGCAUUGGGCUUCUAAUACUUGAUUGGAUCUUUUACUUGCAUUUGGGCUGUGGACAGUCCAAUACCAAAGAUAUCUAUCUAAUGUUCAGAACACUGAGAAUAUCAGGUGAAAGGAAGCAAAAGUAAUAUGGGAAGUUGCUUAAUUUCUGAUUCAGCCAUUAAAAAAAAGUAGAAAGUUGCUUCAUUCAAUUUCUUUUUCUGUCAAAAGUAUAAAGAUUGACACCUUGCAAUUGAUACCCUUUUAUAUCAGAAUGUAAGGAAGUAAAUCUUGUAAAGUUGGAAAUGUAAUCCAUGUGCUCUACCUCUCCUUUCAACUAAAUAUUACGAGGCUUUAUUACGAGGCUUCAUUAACUUACCAGCUCUUUGUUUGAUCUCAGCUCCCUAACCUUAAACCUAUAGUAAAUGGUGAAUAAAUGUUGUUGGAAUCUGCAGUUAUUUAAUUUUAGUGACGUUUUCGCUGAAUCAGUAAAACCUCAAUAUUACUUUUACUCUUUAAUUUAAAACACAAUGUUAUCAAUUGUUUAUAGUAGCUACUGUAUUUACAUACUUUUCAUGGGAUGCAGCAAUUUCUCUCGAAAGUCAUUGUUGUACUGCAUUUUUUCCUGUUAUAGUUUGCCAAGGUUGUGCUCCUGUAUUUCAAAGUGGCCUGACAUGAUAUGGUGUGUCUUCAAGAGUAGUGGAAUCAGCUAUCCAUUAACAUUGAGUGGUCUUUUUUGGGGGGUCGAUAAGGUCGUCAAUAAUUCAUUUAGGUGAAGAAAAGUUGAUUUUUCCCUACACUUGUUUCACGCUACGACUUUUUUGUACAUUUGCCCUGACAAUCUUCAUGACUAGUUUGUUUUAUGGACAAACAUAAAGGGGACUUAUAUGGAUUGAAUAUUCUGCCACCAAAGAGACCAAGGUCAAUUCAUCUGUUAAACUUUAACUCUGCUGCUGGCUUAUCCAAUGGAUUCCAGAGUAGCAUAUAUCAUUUCCAGUAAGCAUGAUCAUUAUGAAACUUUUUACUUCUACAUUUGCGCUUCCAAAAUAAUUUGUCUGUAUACCUAUCUUGCUGAAAAAUCUAUAGCCUCAUUUGUGAAAUUAUAGCUAGGCAUGUGGAAGGUGAUAAGUCUUGGAUUCAGGACACAAGUCUUUUACUUUAGUUGAUCAAGUAAGUCGGGACAAAAGUCUUUUCAAUACUGAAGUGACGCGAUGCUUUGGCUCACCUAGAGUUAGCUCCAAUAAUUUAUUCAACUUCCUCUCUAGAGUUUUUACCGUGUGAAAUGCUCCAUAAUUGCAGAAUGUGCCCGACGCUCCUAAGCAAUGGCACGUCCCCUACCAGCUAAUAUUUACUGCUUAGUAAUUUAAGGAUUAUGUCAUGGAUGAUGAUUGAUCUCACAGUCAACAACUCUCCAACUUAGUUGCAGGUACUGCACGUCGUUAAGCAGAAACACUUUUCUUUUAUCCUAAGCUGUCUAGCUAAUUAUGCUGCGUGUUUUGAACAAAGACAGGGAUAUCUUAAAUGGUAAGACUUGACUAUUAUGCUUAGUGCUUAGAUACAUCAAUGUGAACUUUUCAGAUGUAGUAAUAUCUCAUCAGAACAACUGCUAACAAGUAUUUUGACUCAUUUUUUAGUUAUCAAUUCAUCAUCAUUUUUUCCUGUCCAAUUUGCAAAUUUCAAAUUCUAGAUGUUAGACCUCUAUAAAACCCACUAAAUUAUUAAAGACUCUGGUUUGUAUACAAGUUUUAGUAUCUUUUCUCUUUUUACCUUGUACAUAUGUGUUGUUGGACUCCUUUUUUGCCCCUUUCUGCUUUGUCUUUCUCCACCUCUAAUUUGUUAUCUUUCUAAUUUUAUACUAUAGUCUAUAAGGCAUUAUCAUUAAAGCCCCAGCUGAAAACCGACCAAUCCUUUUUAGUCUAAACUAAAGAGGAAAAAUGAGUCAAAAUUCUUAGCUUUCAAUAACAUAGAAAUGUCAAACGCACUAAGCUUCACAAUUGCUUCUUUUUCUUUUUCAAGCAAAGCUACGUGCAAUUAAAGUACUUGUGAGAUUAAUAAACACAUCUUCCUAAGCUUAAUCCUACACGUGUUUGCAAUUAGUAUUGUUAUCUCAUCCUUUUUUUUCCCAAUAAACUAAUCUUUUGUUCCUUUCUAUCUCAGCUUGUAGUGGCCUAAAAGGUAUUUGGUUCAUCUUUAAUAGUCUUUGUUAAGUUUAUCAUUGAUUUGGAAUGAAGCCACAAUGAAACAUACAUGUUUGGGUGAGUGAGAGAACACAAUGUGGGACCAAUACUAAAGAGAUAUGUUUAUGAUAUUAUUAUUAUUAU